ensembl:lncRNA
UUAGCCGCGGCCCCGCCUCGCCGUGGUCACCCCAUUCAUCCCAAGGCCGCGCCCACCAAUCACCGCUCGUCGACGGCGACGCAUGGGCGAUGGGCGGGGCCUCCGCGGCGCCCCGCCCCGCCCCAGCCACCGCGGGUUACUCCGGGUCGAAACCCGAGCAACCCCUGUCGCGACCCCCACUGGCUGCAGAGGGACAGCAGCGGUGCGGGAGGAGGCCAGGGUCCAGCGGGGUCGGGGACCCGCCCGGGAGAGGCCUCGGCCGAGGGAGUGUUAGAGCCGCUGUUCCCUGUCUCAGUCCGUUGGUCCUGGUGCAGCAAUAUCCAUCCCGUGAGCCCGCUUGGAACCUGUGCCCGACGCUUCCCAGUUCCUUCUUGCAGACUCUUAAACUGCACGGUCUGUUGUGGCAUCAAGAAGGCUGCUCGAGAUGAGGUCAAGAGAGUAGCUGCUAAUGAUGAACUGAACUUUUGGAAGGAUUGUCCAUUACAACUGCCUGAUAUUUCAACUACAGAAACCCACUCCUCCAGAAUGACACCAUCAGCCACUUUAAGAACAUUGCUCUUGGAGAAUGUCCUCAAGUGUUCAGUAUUGUCUAGCUGUUUCUGAAGUUUUUAUCCACCCAGAAGCUAGGUCUUCAACGAAAUCUACUGAGUGAACUCCCAAACCUCCAAGAACUAAGUUCUUCUGCUCUACCAGGCUAAAGCCUGAGAUUUGAGAGGGCGUCUCAGAGACCCCUACUGCUGAAUACACAGUUGAAGAAACUAAACCCCGACAUUGAAAAUUCCUCACUUGAGCUACUAUACAUAAUUUCAUGCUGGUCCCCUGGCUGUGCUGCAAGGGAAUGGCUCCAGGGCAGGGAAUGGCUUCCUUAUGCCUGCUGCUGUCCCCAAGACUUAUGCCUGGCCAGGGACUGAGUGAGUACACAUGAAGUGCAUCUUGACCUCAUUCUUCCACAGUUUCUACUGUGUGGCAGACACUGUUCUAGGGAUCAGGGAACAAAACAGACAAAACUAUUAC